rnacentral:rRNA from 1 species
AUUGAACGCUGGCGGCAUGCCUAACACAUGCAAGUCGAACGGUAACAGGCCUUCGGUUGCUGACGAGCGGCGGACGGGGGAGUAAGGCAUCGGAACGUGCCCAGUGGCGGGGGGUAACGCAGCGAAAGCUGUGCUAAGACCGCAUGUGAGCUGAGGAUGAAAACGGCAGACCAGGCAGCAAUGUUUGGCCUUGCGCCUUUGGAGCGGCCGAUGUCAGAUUAGGUAGUUGGUGGGGUAAAGGCAUACCAAGCCGACGAUCUGUAGCUGGUCUGAGAGGAUGACCGGCCACACUGGAACUGAGACACGGCCCAGACUCCUACGGGAGGCAGCAGUGGGGAAUUUUCGACAAUGGGCGCAAGCCUGAUCCAGCAAUGCCGCGUGCGGGAAGAAGGCCUUCGGGUUGUAAACCGCUUUUGUUCGGGAAGAACAGGCUCUGGCUAAUACCUGGGGCUGUUGACGGUACCGUAAGAAUAAGCACCGGCUAACUACGUG